AAAAGAUAAUAAAAAAGUAAAGUACAUCACAAGGAAGGAGUUAUUAGAGAAUUAUGCAUAGAUAGUAAAUACAUUAACUAUCAUGCUCACAACUGCAGAUAUUAAUCUUCGAGACAAUUGAGAUUUGUUUAAGAGGUUGAUUUCUGUUAUGUAAUUUUGUUAAGGAGAAACGUUCUUUGAAGAAGGAGGAGUUGUACCAGGUGGAGGGAAUAUUGGAGGAAAAGGAAAAGACAAACUUGGUGGUGGUGAAGGAGAAGACCAAAACCUGGUACAGAUGGAAAAGGAAACAAUGGUGAAGAAGAUCUUGAUGGAGGAGGCUGUAAUGGAUUAGGAGGAAAAAAUGAUGGUGGUGGUGUUGGUGGUUGAAAUGGGUUAGGAGGAAUAAGUGGUGAACUUGGUGGUUGUAAUAAUGGAUUAUUAGGUACUAAUGGUGGUGGAAACAAUGGAUUAGGAGGAAUAUUAAAUGUUUCAAUGUUAUCCACUUUUUCAAC
rnacentral:lncRNA from 1 species